GAAAGUGCGGGGGUGAGUGGAGGAGUAGUGCGGAGGGGGGAAGCGUGGUGGGGAUUGAGUGGGCGUAAAGAGGGUUGAGGGGGCUUUGCAAGGGCGGUGGGAAAGCGCGGGGCGCGAGCUCUGGGCGACGGGGGAAAUGGCCGAUCUAUGGUCCUGGAGGUGGGAGUGGAAGUCCUGGUGUAGCGGUGAAAGGCGCAGAGAUCAGGAAGAACGCCCGUGGCGAAGGCGGCUCGCUGGGACGUGACUGACGCUGAGGCGCGAAAGCGUGGGGAGCGAACAGGAUUAGAUACCCUUGUAGUC
rnacentral:rRNA from 1 species